rnacentral:rRNA from 1 species
AUCCGGGUUGCGGACAGUGUCUGGUGGGUAGUUUGACUGGGGCGGUCUCCUCCUAAAGAGUAACGGAGGAGCACGAAGGUCAGCUAAUCCUGGUCGGACAUCAGGAGGUUAGUGCAAUGGCAUAAGCUGGCUUGACUGCGAGCGUGACGGCGCGAGCAGGUGCGAAAGCAGGUCAUAGUGAUCCGGUGGUUCUGAAUGGAAGGGCCAUCGCUCAACGGAUAAAAGGUACUCCGGGGAUAACAGGCUGAUACCGCCCAAGAGUUCAUAUCGACGGCGGUGUUUGGCACCUCGAUGUCGGCUCAUCACAUCCUGGGGCUGAAGUAGGUCCCAAGGGUAUGGCUGUUCGCCAUUUAAAGUGGUACGCGAGCUGGGUUUAGAACGUCGUGAGACAGUUCGGUCCCUAUCUGCCGUGGGCGCUGGAGAAUUGAGGGGGGCUGCUCCUAGUACGAGAGGACCGGAGUGGACGCAUCACUGGUGUUCGGGUUGUCAUGCCAAUGGCAUUGCCCGGUAGCUAAAUGCGGAAGAGAUAAGUGCUGAAAGCAUCUAAGCACGAAACUUGCCCCGAGAUGAGUUCUCCCUGACCCUUUAAGGGUCCUGAAGGAACGUUGAAGACGACGACGUUGAUAGGCCGGGUGUGUAAGCGCAGCGAUGCGUUGAGCUAACCGGUACUAAUGAACCGUGAGGCUUAACCUU